rnacentral:rRNA from 1 species
UACGAAGGGGGCUAGCGUUGCUCGGAAUUACUGGGCGCAAAGGGCGCGUAGGCGGAUACUUAAGUCGGGGGUGAAAGCCCGGGGCUCAACCUCGGAAUUGCCUUCGAUACUGGGUAUCUUGAGUUCGGGAGAGGUGAGUGGAAUGCCGAGUGUAGAGGUGAAAUGCGUAGAGAUCGGGAGGAACACCAGUGGCGAAGGCGGCUACCUGGACCAGCACUGACACUGAGGCACGAAAGCGUGGGGAGCAAACAGG